AAUAUUUGAUUUUUCUUAUCUCUAUAAAACAAAAAAGAGAAGAAGAAUUCUUUUGAAAGGCUUAGAAUGUCAGCUUGUUUUUUUUUUUUUUUUUUUUGAAAUACGCACUACAGAAAGAACAACACCUUGAACUUACCUGGGAAACUUCCACAGACUUUAUUAAAAAGAACUUGGUGGAAAUACAUACCACAAGUCAAAGAGAUGAAAUGACCCCAUGGUUCUGCUCAUUAUGAGAAGGAGGAACAAGAGGAAGAGAAAAGCUCCAAAUGGAGAAGAAAACAUUUAUUCCACAAUUGAAAUACAGUUGGAAUCAUGAUGUAAGUGUGCAGUUACGCUUUUAAGAGGCUGA
rnacentral:lncRNA from 1 species